ensembl:lncRNA
AAUUCCCAGAGCCAGCGCACUAGAGGGACAUGGGAAUCCAAGGAGAAAGACUGGGAAGGAAGACCAAGGAGAGACUACUGAUAUGAAAGUCUACUCUCCUCUCAGCUACCUCGGCCUCGACUGUAAAUACAGGUGGGCUCUCUCCCUCGCAGGAAGACUGCUCUGUCCUGCGCUCUCACUGUCACAGGUCCACAGAAACACAGAUGAAAACACAGCCGUCUGGAGCCCAUGGUUAGCAGCUAUGUGAUCUACAUCCUACACCCUUCCCUUCUGUUCGAUUCGGCCUACACCAUUUAUGUCCCGGGUCAAUUUGACCUGUAAAAGGACCUGAGCCCUAGGACCAUGCCUCAGGACUACCUGACAGUCCUUGCUGUCCCCAGUCCA